GACAGGGUUGCACGGGCCUGUGGCCGCCAGUUGGCUUUAAUCGGUGACCAGCUAGACCGAGAGUAUGCCAGCAGAAUGCCAAACCAGCUUCCGACUCCCUUAAACCUCCUGAGACCUGCCCAGGCACUGACUCGGACCAUCUAUAGGGAUAUUCACAAUCAGUUAGGAACUUUUCGGGGUUUGUCUGCUGCAAUGAAGACCUGGUUAGUGAGCACUGCACCUGGGCAGGGGAUCCUCAGGGUUGAGGCCUUGACAGCUUGGGCAUCCAACUUUAACCCUGUAACCUGCACUGGGUGGAACAGAGGAGCACUUGUUACUGUGGCACUGGCCAUGGUGACCAUUUUCAGUGCACUAUGGACGGAGCAGAAAGCUUAAGGGGGCCACGAGCAGGUCUUCUCAGCCAUGUUUGUCAAAA